rnacentral:rRNA from 1 species
CGGGGUGCAGCAGGCGCGAAAACUUUACAAUGCUGGCAACAGCGAUAAGGGGACCUCGAGUGCCAGGAUACAAUCUUGGCUGUCGUGAUGCCUAAAAAGCAUUACAUAGCAAGGGCCGGGCAAGACCGGUGCCAGCCGCCGCGGUAACACCGGCGGCUCGAGUGGUAACCGCUAUUAUUGGGUCUAAAGGGUCUGUAGCCGGCCGGAUAAGUCUCUUGGGAAAUCCAGCAGCUCAACUGUUGGGCUUCCAGGGGAUACUGUUCGGCUCGAGGCCGGGAGAGGUGAGAGGUACUUCAGGGGUAGGGGUGAAAUCUUGUAAUCCUUGAAGGACCACCAGUGGCGAAGGCGUCUCACCAGAACGGUCCUGACGGCAAGGGACGAAAGCUAGGGGCACGAACCGGAUUAGAUACCCGGGUAGUCCUAGCCGUAAACGAUACUCGCUAGGUGUCGGCCACGGUGCGACCGUGGUCGGUGCCGUAGGGAAGCCGUGAAGCGAGCCACCUGGGAAGUACGGCCGCAAGGCUGAAACUUAAAGGAAUUGGCGGGGGAGCAC